rnacentral:lncRNA from 1 species
UCGGUGACCUAUGUUUUUUAUUGGCUCAUUCUUUGAAGCUGUUUUCCAGCUUUUCGUAUUACAGAUUUGGAACAAUUGUCAUAGAACGUUUUUUUGAUAUUCCGAAAAAAAUAUGUCAACACCUCUAUUUCCCCUAUCAUUUCAUUGAAAAAUGGUCCCUUUUACAUACCUGUUUAAAAGUAAAAUUUUGAGCUUAAAUGGUCCGUGACCCCCUAUUUUUUUUCGACCAAUUUGAUUCAUUUUCUUUAAAGAAUAAAAUAACCAAAAAAACGGCACUUCUGAUAGAAACUUCGAAUACGCCCGAGCCACCUUAAAU